UACGUAGGGUGCGAGCGUUGUCCGGAAUUAUUGGGCGUAAAGAGUUCGUAGGCGGUGUGUCACGCCGGCCGUGAAAACCUGCAGCUUAACUGUGGGCGUGCGGUCGAUACGGGCAUCACUGGAGUUCGGCAGGGGAGACUGGAAUUCCUGGUGUAGCGGUGAAAUGCGCAGAUAUCAGGAGGAACACCGGUGGCGAAGGCGGGUCUCUGGGCCGAUACUGACGCUGAGGAGCGAAAGCGUGGGGAGCAAACAGG
rnacentral:rRNA from 1 species